UACAGGGGGGGCAAGCGUUGUUCGGAAUUACUGGGCGUAAAGGGUCUGUAGGUGGCCAACUAAGUCAGACGUGAAAUCCCUCAGCUUAACUGGGGAACUGCGUCUGAUACUGGAUGGCUCGAGUGCAGGAGAGGAACGCGGAAUUCCAGGUGUAGCGGUGAAAUGCGUAGAUAUCUGGAGGAACACCGGUGGCGAAGGCGGCGUUCUGGACUGCAACUGACACUGAGAGACGAAAGCCAGGGGAGCAAACGGG
rnacentral:rRNA from 1 species